AUCACUUCUCGGCCUUUGAGCUAAGAUCAAGUGUAGUAUCUGUUCUUAUCAGGCUAAUAUCUGAUAUGUCCUUUAUCUGAAGACAAUCUAGUAAAUGGAUUUUUGGAGCUUGCUCAGUCUACUCCACACGGACCUGGGAAUGCGGUACCUCUAGGAACUGCGCACCCCCU
ensembl:snRNA U2 U2 spliceosomal RNA